GCUUACACAUGCAAGUCGAGCGGUAACAGAGAUAGCUUGCUAUCUGCUGACGAGCGGCGGACGGGUGAGUAAUGCUUGGGAAUAUGCCUUUGAGUGGGGGACAACAGUUGGAAACGACUGCUAAUACCGCAUAACGUCUACGGACCAAAGGGGGGGAUGCUUCGGCACCUCUCGCUCAUUGAUUAGCCCAAGUGAGAUUAGCUAGUUGGUAAGGUAAUGGCUUACCAAGGCGACGAUCUCUAGCUGGUUUGAGAGGAUGAUCAGCCACACUGGGACUGAGACACGGCCCAGACUCCUACGGGAGGCAGCAGUGGGGAAUAUUGCACAAUGGGCGAAAGCCUGAUGCAGCCAUGCCGCGUGUGUGAAGAAGGCCUUCGGGUUGUAAAGCACUUUCAGCGAGGAGGAAAGGUUAGUAGUUAAUAGCUGCUAGCUGUGACGUUACUCGCAGAAGAAGCACCGGCUAACUUCGUGCCAGCAGCCGCGGUAAUACGAGGGGUGCAAGCGUUAAUCGGAAUUACUGGGCGUAAAGCGUGCGUAGGUGGUUUGUUAAGCAAGAUGUG
rnacentral:rRNA from 1 species